GCUCAGUAACACGUGGCCAAACUACCCUGUGGAUGGGAAUAAUCUCGGGAAACUGAGGCUAAUUCCCAAUAAUGCUCCACCCCUGGAAUGGGUGGAGCUGGAAACGCUACGGCGCCACAGGAUGUGGCUGCGGUCGAUUAGGUAGACGGUGGGGUAACGGCCCACCGUGCCAAUAAUCGGUACGGGUUGUGAGAGCAAGAGCCCGGAGACGGAAUCUGAGACAAGAUUCCGGGCCCUACGGGGCGCAGCAGGCGCGAAACCUUUACACUGUACGCAAGUGCGAUAAGGGGACUCCGAGUGUGAAGGCAUAGAGCCUUCACUUUUGUACACCGUAAGGUGGUGCACGAAUAAGGGCUGGGCAAGACCGGUGCCAGCCGCCGCGGUAAUACCGGCAGCCCGAGUGAUGGCCGAUAUUAUUGGGCCUAAAGCGUCCGUAGCUGGCCGGACAAGUCCGUUGGGAAAUCUGUCCGCUUAACGGGCAGGCGUCCAGCGGAAACUGUUCGGCUUGGGACCGGAAGACCUGAGGGGUACGUCCGGGGUAGGAGUGAAAUCCUGUAAUCCUGGACGGACCACCGGUGGCGAAAGCGCCUCAGGAGGACGGAUCCGACAGUGAGGGACGAAAGCUAGGGUCUCGAACCGGAUUAGAUACCCGGGUAGUCCUAGCUGUAAACGAUGCCCGCUAGGUGUGGCGCAGGCUACGAGCCUGCGCUGUGCCGUAGGGAAGCCGAG
rnacentral:rRNA from 1 species